GAAACAGAAACAGCUUUUAAACUAUUUAGGAGACUUGGUUUUUGACUUGGUCAAACUUGAAUAAUGAACAUCCUUCUUAUUAAGAUGCUGCUUCCUCAUUGUUUUAUGUUGAAACACAAGUGUAAUUUCCUGUCCCUUCACAGUGUUGGUUUCUCAUCUCCGUGCAAGCAGAUUUAUCUGGCUCCUCGGUCGACAAAAUCAUCUCCUCAAGAAACAUGGAGCUUGGUAUCAUAUGUGAAAUGUCACUGUGCAAUGGAUGAAUAG
rnacentral:lncRNA from 1 species